GGCUCAGGAUGAACGCUAGCUACAGGCUUAACACAUGCAAGUCGAGGGGCAGCAUGGUCUUAGCUUGCUAAGGCCGAUGGCGACCGGCGCACGGGUGAGUAACACGUAUCCAACCUGCCGUCUACUCUUGGACAGCCUUCUGAAAGGAAGAUUAAUGCAAGAUGGCAUCAUGAGUCCGCAUGUUCACAUGAUUAAAGGUAUUCCGGUAGACGAUGGGGAUGCGUUCCAUUAGAUAGUAGGCGGGGUAACGGCCCACCUAGUCUUCGAUGGAUAGGGGUUCUGAGAGGAAGGUCCCCCACAUUGGAACUGAGACACGGUCCAAACUCCUACGGGAGGCAGCAGUGAGGAAUAUUGGUCAAUGGGCGAGAGCCUGAACCAGCCAAGUAGCGUGAAGGAUGACUGCCCUAUGGGUUGUAAACUUCUUUUAUAAAGGAAUAAAGUCGGGUAUGGAUACCCGUUUGCAUGUACUUUAUGAAUAAGGAUCGGCUAACUCCGUGCCAGCAGCCGCGGUAAUACGGAGGAUCCGAGCGUUAUCCGGAUUUAUUGGGUUUAAAGGGAGCGUAGAUGGAUGUUUAAGUCAGUUGUGAAAGUUUGCGGCUCAACCGUAAAAUUGCAGUUGAUACUGGAUAUCUUGAGUGCAGUUGAGGCAGGCGGAAUUCGUGGUGUAGCGGUGAAAUGCUUAGAUAUCACGAAGAACUCCGAUUGCGAAGGCAGCCUGCUAAGCUGCAACUGACAUUGAGGCUCGAAAGUGUGGGUAUCAAACAGGAUUAGAUACCCUGGUAGUCCACACGGUAAACGAUGAAUACUCGCUGUUUGCGAUAUACGGCAAGCGGCCAAGCGAAAGCGUUAAGUAUUCCACCUGGGGAGUACGCCGGCAACGGUGAAACUCAAAGGAAUUGACGGGGGCCCGCACAAGCGGAGGAACAUGUGGUUUAAUUCGAUGAUACGCGAGGAACCUUACCCGGGCUUAAAUUGCAGAUGAAUUACGGUGAAAGCCGUAAGCCGCAAGGCAUCUGUGAAGGUGCUGCAUGGUUGUCGUCAGCUCGUGCCGUGAGGUGUCGGCUUAAGUGUCAUAACGAGCGCAACCCUUGUUGUCAGUUACUAACAGGUCCCGCUGAGGACUCUGACAAGACUGCCAUCGUAAGAUGUGAGGAAGGUGGGGAUGACGUCAAAUCAGCACGGCCCUUACGUCCGGGGCUACACACGUGUUACAAUGGGGGGUACAGAGGGCCGCUACCACGCGAGUGGAUGCCAAUCCCCAAAACCUCUCUCAGUUCGGACUGGAGUCUGCAACCCGACUCCACGAAGCUGGAUUCGCUAGUAAUCGCGCAUCAGCCACGGCGCGGUGAAUACGUUCCCGGGCCUUGUACACAC
rnacentral:rRNA from 1 species